GGGACCCUUCAACCGGUUCCGGGCCGUAGCUAACCCAUUAAGUGCCCCGCCUGGGGAGUACGGCCGCAAGGCUAAAACUCAAAGGAAUUGACGGGGGCCCGCCCAAGCGGCGGAGCAUGUGGUUUAAUUCGAGGCAACGCGAAGAACUUACCUGGGUUGAACUACGCAGGAAAAGCCGCAGAGAUGCGGUGUCCGCAAGGGCUGCGAUAGGUGGUGCAUGGCUGUCGUCAGCUCGUGUCGUGAGAUGUUGGGUUAAGUCCCGCAACGAGCGCAACCCUUGUCCUAUGUUGCCAGCGGGUAAUGCCGGGGACUCGUAGGAGACUGCCGGGGUCAACUCGGAGGAAGGUGGGGAUGACGUCAAGUCAUCAUGCCCCUUAUGUCCAGGGCUGCACACAUGCUACAAUGGCCGGUACAAAGGGCUGCUACUCCGCGAGGAUGAGCGAAUCCCAAAAAGCCGGUCUCAGUUCGGAUCGCAGUCUGCAACUCGACUGCGUGAAGCCGGAGUCGCUAGUAAUCCCGGAUCAGCAACGCCGGGGUGAAUACAUUCCCGGGCCUUGUACACACCGCCCGUCACACCACGAAAGUCGGCAACACCCGAAGCCGGUGGUCCAACCAUUUAAUGGAGGGAGCCGUCGAAGGUGGAGUCGGUGAUUGGGGUGAAGUCGUAACAAGGUAGCCGUAAUCG
rnacentral:rRNA from 1 species